rnacentral:rRNA from 1 species
UACGGAGGGAGCUAGCGUUGUUCGGAAUUACUGGGCGUAAAGCGCACGUAGGCGGUUAUUCAAGUCAGAGGUGAAAGCCCGGGGCUCAACCCCGGAACUGCCUUUGAAACUAGAUGACUAGAAUCUUGGAGAGGUCAGUGGAAUUCCGAGUGUAGAGGUGAAAUUCGUAGAUAUUCGGAAGAACACCAGUGGCGAAGGCGACUGACUGGACAAGUAUUGACGCUGAGGUGCGAAAGCGUGGGGAGCAACAGG